rnacentral:tRNA from 1 species
GGAGGGGGGAGCUCAGUGGCAGAGCUCAAGCUUAGCAUGCACAAAGUCCUGGGUUCAAUCCCUAGCACCUCCA